rnacentral:rRNA from 1 species
GAUGAACGCUGGCGGCGUGCCUAACACAUGCAAGUCUCAGGAGAAUGGGAUUCGCAAGAGUCCCUAGUAAACUGGCGCAAGGGUGAGUAACACGUAGGUAAUCUGCCCCACAGUGUGGAAUAACACUGGGAAACCGGUGCUAAUACCGCAUGUUGUUCCGAGUUCACAAGGUUUGGAACAAAGGUGCUUGCACCGCUGUGGGAUGAGCCUGCGGCCUAUCAGCUAGUUGGCAGGGUAACGGCCUACCAAGGCUACGACGGGUAGCUGGUCUGAGAGGACGACCAGCCACACUGGCACUGAGACACGGGCCAGACUCCUACGGGUGGCAG